AGAGUUUGAUCCUGGCUCAGGAUGAACGCUGGCGGCGUGCGUCAUACAUGCAAGUCGAGCGAACGGAUUAAGAGCUUGCUCUUAUGAAGUUAGCGGCGGACGGGUGAGUAACACGUGGGUAACCUGCCCAUAAGACUGGGAUAACUCCGGGAAACCGGGGCUAAUACCGGAUAACAUUUUGAACCGCAUGGUUCGAAAUUGAAAGGCGGCUUCGGCUGUCACUUAUGGAUGGACCCGCGUCGCAUUAGCUAGUUGGUGAGGUAACGGCUCACCAAGGCAACGAUGCGUAGCCGACCUGAGAGGGUGAUCGGCCACACUGGGACUGAGACACGGCCCAGACUCCUACGGGAGGCAGCAGUAGGGAAUCUUCCGCAAUGGACGAAAGUCUGACGGAGCAACGCCGCGUGAGUGAUGAAGGCUUUCGGGUCGUAAAACUCUGUUGUUAGGGAAGAACAAGUGCUAGUUGAAUAAGCUGGCACCUUGACGGUACCUAACCAGAAAGCCACGGCUAACUACGUGCCAGCAGCCGCGGUAAUAC
rnacentral:rRNA from 1 species